UACGUAGGGUGCGAGCGUUGUCCGGAAUUAUUGGGCGUAAAGAGCUUGUAGGCGGUUUGUCGCGUCUGCUGUGAAAAUCCGAGGCUCAACCUCGGACUUGCAGUGGGUACGGGCAGACUAGAGUGUGGUAGGGGAGACUGGAAUUCCUGGUGUAGCGGUGAAAUGCGCAGAUAUCAGGAAGAACACCCGUGGCUAAGGCGGUUCUCUAGUACGGUACUGACGCUGAGACGCGAAAGCGUGGGGAGCGAACAGG
rnacentral:rRNA from 1 species